rnacentral:rRNA from 1 species
CCUACGGGAGGCAGCAGUAGGGAAUCUUCCACCAUUGGCGAAAGCCUGAUGGAGCAACGCCGCGUGGGUGAAGAAGGUCUUCGGAUCGUAAAACCCUGUUGUUAGAGAAGAAAGUUCGUGAGAGUAACUGUUCACGUUUCGACGGUAUCUUACCAGAAAGCCACGGCUAACUACGUGCCAGCAGCCGCGGUAAUACGUAGGUGGCAAGCGUUAUCCGGAUGUAUUGGGCGGAAAGGGAACGCAGGCGGUCUUUUAAGUCUGAUGUGAAAGCCUUCGGCUUAACCGGAGUAGUGCAUUGGAAACUGGGAGAUGUGAGUGCAGAAGAGUAGAGUGGAACUCCAUGUGUAGCUGUGAAAGGCGUAGAUAUAUGGAAGAACACCAGUGGCGAAAGCGGCUCUCUGGUCUGUAACUGACGCUGAGGUUCGAAAGCGGGGGUAGCAAACAGGAUUAGAUACCCUUGUAGUC